GGUCUUUUCUAAACCCCAGAGAAUGCAAGCUUCCCCGUCUCUUCUCUUCGCCUCUCUCUCUCUCUCUCUCUCUCUCUCUCCCCCCGCCUGCUUUUAUGUGAUUUUCUAGGGAUCCAAUUGAUGCCAUGGCCAGCAAUCGCCGCUUAAAUCCGCAACUCGUCGUUCAAUUUCGCAAUGGUUUAGGUCGCUCUGUCAACUUAGAGCCGCCUUACUUCAACAGAAACAAUGAUAACGCACUUAUUCAAGGCCGAGGCUGCUCGCUCUGCUUCUCCUCAACAACUCCAGAUCGACGCUUUAAUGGAGUAUCCCGCAGUUAUACUUUUGGUUAUUGACUAUCAAGAUCAAAGAUAUUGUGGACGUGCUUGGAUGUUUUAAGGUUAUCUGUUUGUUAGAGUAGAACUUUUUAGUAUUUUGUGGCCUUGCAGUUUAGAUACAUUUUGUAGUUCGAGACGUGUUGCUGUUUUGUGCUCUAGGAAUUUGAAGACAAGUUGUUAUCACUAUAUUUGGUGGACACUAUUACUAUAUUUAUGAAAUUUUGGAUUUGUUUCUUAGAA